rnacentral:sRNA from 1 species
UUUUAUUACAGGUGACAGAUGUGGCUGAUGCUAUGAUUCUUAAACGACUUUUCACAGAGAUGUUUAAAAAUGGAGUAGUUGUGGUAGCUACAUCUAACAGACCCCCAGAUGAUCUUUACAAAAAUGGACUUCAACGAGCUAAUUUUCUCCCAUUUAUUGAUGUUCUCAAAAAGUACUGUGAGAUUAUCCCCCUUGAUUCUGGUAUUGAUUACAGAAUGCUGUCCCUUCCUGGGGAAGGCAAAGUUUAUUUUGU